rnacentral:rRNA from 1 species
UAGAAGGCAGCAGGGGGAAUAUUGCACAAUGGGCGCAAGCCUGAUGCAGCCAUGCCGCGUGUAUGAAGAAGGCCUUCGGGUUGUAAAGUACUUUCAGUCGUGAGGAAGGUGUUAAGGUUAAUAACCUUAGCAAUUGACGUUAGCGACAGAAGAAGCACCGGCUAACUCCGUGCCAGCAGCCGCGGUAAUACGGAGGGUGCGAGCGUUAAUCGGAAUUACUGGGCGUAAAGGGCACGCAGGCGGUUAAUUAAGUUGGAUGUGAAAUCCCCGGGCUUAACCUGGGAAUGGCAUUCAAGACUGGUUAGCUAGAGUCUUGUAGAGGGGGUAGAAUUCCAUGUGUAGCGGUGAAAUGCGUAGAGAUGUGGAGGAAUACCGGUGGCGAAGGCGGCCCCUGGACAAAGACUGACGCUCAUGUGCGAAAGCGUGGGGAGCGAAACAGGGAUUAGAUACC